rfam:Gorilla gorilla gorilla genomic chromosome, chr14, whole genome shotgun sequence
GCCAGGCAUGGUGGUGGGUGCCUGUAAUCCCAGCUACUUGGGAGGCUGAGGUGGGAGAAUUGCUUGAACCCAGGAGGUGGAAGCUGCAGUGAGCCGAAAUCGUCCCACUGCCCUCCAGCCUGGGUGACAGAGCAAGAUUCCGUCUCAA